UAUUAAAGGCAACGCCUGCCCAGUGAACAAUUUAACGGCCGCGGUACCCUAACCGUGCAAAGGUAGCAUAAUAAUUUGUCUAUUAAUUGUAGACCUGCAUGAAAGGCAAAAUGAGGGCCCAACUGUCUCUUAUAGUAAACCAAUUAAACUGAUCUCCCAGUCAAAAAGCUGGAAUAUUCCCAUAAGACCAGAAGACCCUGUGAAGCUUUAACUAAACUAUUAAACCAUUUAAUAGCUCCUUUAGGUUGGGGUGACCUUGGAAAAAAAAAGAACUUCCAAAUAAGACCCAGUACUACUGACAACUGAACCAAGUUACUCCAGGGAUAACAGCGCUAUCUUCUUCAAGAGCCCAUAUCAAAAAGAAGGUUUACGACCUCGAUGUUGGAUCAGGACAUCCUAAUGGUGCAGCCGCUAUUAAGGGUUCGUUCGUUCAACGAUUAAC
rnacentral:rRNA from 1 species